rnacentral:lncRNA from 1 species
UGCCACUGAGGGGACAGAAACUCUGAGAUUUGUCCAGCCAUGAUGCAGCCCAGCAGCUCCACCAGGAAAACGCUCCCUCAGCCCCCAGUGGGAUGUCCCCACACACUGUAGUGAGGAACACUUUUCCAGCACAAGCUCCUGUUUCAUCCCCAUGACCCACUGCGGUGGCCUGCACGCUUCUGAGUGCAUCCACAGUGAUUAUAGCUGAUUUUUAGGAGUUAAACAGAACAGAAAGAAACGGGGUAACUUUAAUUCUGUGGAUGGGCAGAUCACCAUUUCCUUUCUACAGACAGAACUACCGUGAGUUUGAGUUUGAUGUGGGUUUUUUAACAAUGAAUUGAUAGAUGGUUCUUUUGAAUGUGUGAAAUGAUCCAGAUAUGACAGUAAGUUUUUCAAAGCCAUUAGACAAGUGUGGUAGCUCAUGGCAGUGGGCUGGGAGGACAAGUGUCACUGAGAUAAAAAUGCAUUAACUAGACUAAUUUAAAAGGAAUGGAGAACUCAUACAAAACCACCAGAAACUCCUCCUGCUUUGCUACCAUAGAACUGGGAAUCCAGACAUGACACAUGGGGGGGGAAAGAAAAACUUUGAAAUAAAAUGAAAGUUAUGCAAAUAGGGGUAUUUGAUUUGAGUCAUCUUUAGGAAUUUCAGGGUAUGGCAAUGUGUCACUGAGACACCACACACAAUAAUGUACGUGUGUCUGUAUGUGUCACCUGUGCAUAUACCAGUGUUCCCCACUGGGAUGUAACCAUUGCUUUAUUAUCGUGAUGGGUGAGUCUGAGGGUUCUCUCUACCACAGAAAUUUACAUUAGUUCAUCCUGUUUUCUGUGUGCAGUGUUUUAUUUAAGGUUUGCUCUCCACGUGGUAAAACGUAACUGCUCCUGACUGACUUUCUGAUGCCCGAGCCACCUAAGUUAUGACAAAGGAAAUCGGCAUGAGCUGAGAAGAACAACAGAGGAUGCUCUCCUGGUUUAAGAUUUGCCCUGCCAGCACUAACCUUCCUGCGGAGGACUCUAUCUACGCUGAGCGCGGCCGCGGUGAAGCAGACGUAAGUAAAUUAACUGGCACAAGACAAAUGUCAGUGAGGUUAGUUUAAGACAUUUAAGCUGAUCCAAAAUGAAACAUGCUCCCUUUGGACUUGCCCGCUGUAGGGUAUUUGUGUAGCAGAUUUGCAUCUUAAUUUUAAAACCAAACUUAAAUGUUACUUCCUAUUU